GGCUGAGGCAUGAGAAUUACUUGAACCCCAGAGGCGGAGAUUGCAGUAAGCUGAGAUCGCGCCACUGCACUCCAGCCUGGGUGACACAGUGAGACUCCAUCUCAAAAAAAAAAAAAAAAAAAUCCCAAACCAAAAACAACUAAAGCAUGUUUUGUGUGCCUGUAAAAAUCUCCUGGAUGAGUCGGCCCUGUCUCAGUCUGGGUCUGUUCAGUGUGUCCUCAUGACUCGCCCCGGCCCCGCGUUGUUGGUUGUAAUCCUGCAGAAACAAUGCCAUGUUUCCCCAUUGAUUCGUGUCAGGAGGCACACGACGAUGACUUGGGCAUCAUGGUGACUUUGGUUACACAGCGAAGUCGGUGUCCACCAGGUCUCUCCACCAUGCAGCUCUCCUUGUCUCCUUUGCAUUGGAUAAGUAUUUUGUGGAGAGAUAUUGGAGACUAUACCAAUACUCCAGUUGCCUAUUUUUGCCUAAUUAACUACUCCCAAAUUUAGCAACAUUACCAAAACCAUUUUAUUGUGCCUGUGAGCUCUGUGGGCUAGGACUUCAGGCAGGACACAGCAGGUCCAGCUUCUCUCUGCUCCAUGAUGCCUGGCCCUCCACUGAAGUGACUUCAACUGCCAGAAGCGGCUCCCAUGGCUGGUGGAUGGGGCAUCCAUUUCCCUGAUGGCUCCUGGGUGGGGUGGCGGAAGGAAAGGCUCAGCAGGGAUUAUUUGCUGGAGCCACCAUCAUGUGGCCUCUCCUUGAGGCUUGGGAUUUGCACAGCAUGGUGGCAGGGCUCUGAGAGGGAACCUGUCAAGAGAGAAGAGCUCCAAGAGACAAAGGCCAAAGCUGCAGGGUCUGCUGACCUGGCCUUGAAGUCACACAGUGUCACUCCUGCCAUGCUGUAUUGGUUAUGGCCAAGUCCUUGCCGUCUGCUCAGAUUCAAGGUGAGGGAAACUAGACUGUCCUCCUGAUGGGGGUGUGGCAGGAGACCUGUGUGUGGUGGGAGAGUUUUUUUUUUUUUUUUUUUUUUGAGACAGAGUCUCACUCUGUUGCCAGGCUGGAGUGCAGUGGCGCGAUCUCGGCUCACCGCAACCUCUGACUCCCUGGUUCAAGCGAUUCUCCUGCCUCAGCCUCCCG
rnacentral:lncRNA from 1 species